CUACGGGGUGCAGCAGUCGCGAAAACUCCGCAAUGCACGAAAGUGUGACGGGGCUACCCCGAGUGCCAUCCGCUGAGGAUGGCUUUUCUUUGGUAUAACUAGCCAGGGGAAUAAGGAGAGGGCAAGACUGGUGUCAGCCGCCGCGGUAAUACCAGCUCUCCGAGUGGUAGGGAUGAUUAUUGGGCUUAAAGCGUCCGUAGCCUGCUUAGCAAGUUUCCUGUUAAAUUCAGCGACCUAAUCGUUGAGCCGCGGGAAAUACUACUAGGCUAGGAGGCGGGAGAGGUCAACGGUACUUCCGGGGUAGGGGUGAAAUCCUAUAAUCCCGGGAGGACCACCAGUGGCGAAGGCUGUUGACUAGAACGCGCUCGACGGUGAGGGACGAAAGCUGGGGGAGCAAACCGGAUUAGAUACCCCCGUAGUC
rnacentral:rRNA from 1 species